rnacentral:piRNA from 1 species
AACACGAUUUCACAUGGACCUGA